CAGGCCUAACACAUGCAAGUCGAACGCACCUUCGGGUGAGUGGCGGACGGGUGAGUAACGCGUGGGAACGUGCCCAAAGGUACGGAACAACUGAGGGAAACUUCAGCUAAUACCGUAUGUGCCCUUAGGGGGAAAGAUUUAUCGCCGAAGGAUCGGCCCGCGUCUGAUUAGCUAGUUGGUGGGGUAAUGGCCCACCAAGGCUACGAUCAGUAGCUGGUCUGAGAGGAUGAUCAGCCUCACUGGGACUGAGACACGGCCCAGACUCCUACGGGAGGCAGCAGUGGGGAAUAUUGGACAAUGGGCGCAAGCCUGAUCCAGCCAUGCCGCGUGGGUGAUGAAGGCCCUAGGGUUGUAAAGCCCUUUCGGCGGGGAAGAUAAUGACGGUACCCGCAGAAGAAGCCCCGGCUAACUUCGUGCCAGCAGCCGCGGUAAUACA
rnacentral:rRNA from 1 species